UACUUUCAAAGACGUUGUUGAG
rnacentral:miRNA from 1 species